rnacentral:lncRNA from 1 species
GCAGCCACUUCUUCAUGAAGUUAGUCCUGGGUUUGGCAAGGCUUGCUCUCUCCCACCUCCCCCACCACCCAGCCCUGGGCUGUCAACAGCCAAUUUGACACUAUGCACUCUGUCAGCACCUCGAGUGUCUGCACCUGUCUUAGAUCUUCUCCUCUGAGCAAGCCGCUUGGAGGACAUCUGAUAACCAGUAGGCCCUUGGGAAGUCUCUACAGCAAAAUCCAAAAGGAGAAGCAGUGGGGGUCCCCUACCUUUGUCUCUCAGGCUCUGGGGCAGCCUUUGAGAGGACUCGGCUCCCCAUUCCUGAACACGGCCCCCUCCUCCACUGGCAUAGGCCACCGUCCACAAGCACAGCCCAGAGUGGUGUCAACAACUUUAUUUUGGUCCCAACCACAGAUCAAUGUGGUUAGAUCAUUUCCCUUCUUAGGACUCCAGGCCCAGCUCUCUGCCCCCUACUAGGGAAAUAAGUUGCCACCAGAUAAACUGGGGGAAACUGCCGAGUUCCCCGAGACAGAAAGUGCAGCUCUGUGAAUCUAUUCUGUACUGAGUGGGGCCAACAAAAUGCAGGAUGGCUGGCCGCCGGGGCAGGAGGAGGGAAGCGCAGAAAGCCCGUGCUCUCUGUGGGGCCCUCGGAAGGUUAGAGCUCAAACUACCUACCCGGGUCCCGUUCCCAUUCCGUAUCAGAGUCCACCAGCCACUUUUAUUAGCAGCUCUGAGACACCAAGGAGCCAUCCGGAGAAGAGAGGAGAUGCACUGUUUCACUUGAAACCGAGCUGCCAAUUUGCAGUUGAAGACACUCUUUGGGGCUGGAAGCUCCGAGUUCCUAUUUUGCAGGCCCAGUGGAAACUGUGUCCAUGCUACUUGGACACCGCAUCCCGUCCGGGGACCACUACUUCCCCUUCCCCACAAGCCUGGAGGCCUUCCACAGCAGCACAGAGGAGCCGGGGCAGAGGCAGGGGGUUGAAAGGGUCUGGGUAGGCUUGAAGGAGUUGCGUAUUUUCUCUCCACACUCUGCUCAAACUAAAUGGCCUGUGUUCUAAAGAUUCCAUAGUACAAACAUGCUGAUAGAGCACCGAGAGAUUAACGUGUUCACCACCAGCCCCUUCUGCAUCUGCUGUGAUGAGUAAGGCUCCAGAAUCACAGAGCUUCCCCGUAGAAUGCAAAGUGCUCCACGCUGAUACCUCAGCUCAUUUUCUCCAUGAGGGAGGGGACGGAGGGAGGGGCCAGCAUCACCGCUGGAGUAGCCACUAGGUCCUAGGCUGCUGGUAUUUUAAUUCAAGUACCUUCACCACAAACGUGUGAGGCAAAGGUGUGACGACCGGGAGUGGAAUCUGCGGCUCCCCAGAGAGGGGCCGCCACACCUAACAGCAUCCGAAUAACAGCACUGCUUCUCAUGAACCAAGUGAACCAACUGUACAUUCUUCGGGCCAAGCAAAACCUAUCCACCUGUGGGCCGGACCCGUACAGACCGCUCCGAUGUGCAGACAAACAAGACAUGAUUUCUGAAGGGCAAGGUCAGCAUUUUCUUUUAUUUUUUAAGAUUUUAUUUAUUUGACAGUAGGUCAAAAUUUUCUUUGCCAUCUCUGCUCCUGGUGGAGCUCAUUGUAGCAGCUCCUGCUGUUUUGAGUGUGUACACAUUAAAAAUGAGGUGCACACCCCAAGAAAGGGAACCAGUGUUGCCCAGCACAAAGGCCUAGUCAUUCUCCGUCACCCAAAUUCUGCCUUUAUCCUGAGCUUGCUUGGUAAUAUUUUGUGUAGGACUCAGCCUCCAGGUACGACUGUUUUCCCACUGGAAACGAGUGGAGAUCUCCCAUGGCAAAGUGAGGACCUGGGGGUUUUCAGAACAAUCUCAUGCAAAAAGUGCCAGAGAGUAUGUUUAAUUUGAACCAUGAACCACUUGGAAAAUGCAAAAAUCCAUAUAUAUGUGUCUUCUUGCUUCCUUACCAAGCUUCCAGCAGAUCCCCAAGUAAAGCAAGUAUAAAACUGGGGUGAGUAGCACCCUACAUGGGGGCACUGAGAUGAAGCUGCCAGGGAACAAGGGUCCUAUGUCUGCUGGCCUCCUUCUCGAUUCUACCCAAAGUCCCAUAUGCAUCUCAAUCCACCAUGUCCAGAAAACAACACAUCCUCCUUCCUCACCACUUCCCCUCAACCAAGUGUGGGUCUGGAAAUGGUGUCACCUCCCACCUACGAGGCCUCCCAUAGCCCCCUCUGCUUGCUCCCUACUGCCUCACUGCCAUACCCCAUCUGUCAAUUCAAACUCCUAUGUGCCUCUCGGAUUCGUCCAUUUCUCCCCUCUGCCACUGCCUUUGAUCAGCCCUCCCUUGUGCCCCCAUAACUACUCUCACACUUCCACCUCCAAUUCUUUCUCUUUGCUGCCCCCACAGUGAUUUUUCUACCAGGAAAACCUUGCUUCUCUUACCUGAGAAUCCCUAAGGCCUUGCCACUGCCUACAGGACACUGGUGCUGGUCCAGGCUGCACCCAUGUUUGCAUCGUGCCCCACCUCCCACCCCUGCCUUGCACUACUGCAGGGGGAUAGUGCCGUGUGAGUUCACCCCCAUGCCUUGACGAUGCUACUUCCUGUACCUGGUACCUCUUCCUCAUAGGUUCACGCGGCCAAUGCCACGCACCCCUUGUCCUUCUCCAGGACACCUUCUCCAUGUCCUGCCUUUGAUAACUGGAUGGUGCACCCAGUGCACCCAGUUAUAUGAAAAUCUUGCAUAUUUUCAGGAUGCCGUCUGUGUACACAGAUCUCCCUUGUAUGUUGGGUUUAAUAGACAGACAAGGGCGCUGUGACCACACCAAGCUGUGAGCUCCCCAACGACGGAAACCAUUUUGCUUCCAUACAACCAAGCUCUUGCACAGUCAUAGCACAUAGUAGGCAUUCAGUAAAUAUUGACUGAACUGCCUGCCUGAUCAAUCGACUUGUUGGGUAAACAUUACUUAACAUCACAUCUACCUCUCCAACUAAAACACGUAAAUAUAUACAAAUAAAGCAAAGUGAAAGGUGGACAUCAAGAGAAAUCACAACCCCUUUUCUUUCUGCAUAGUCCUGACCUAAACUACUACUACUAGAAUGAGGUGUCCCCUCCUUCCUGGGCCUCUGCACUCCUGCAGUAACCAUCCCCUCCCCUGGUCUCCUGCUUUUGCAUGUACAUCCUCCUUUCAGACUCUGCAGGUUGCUUUCAUCAGCUCAGCUCAGCAAGCUCACAGGAGCUGGUUCGAGUGUAAUGGUGAGAGGCCAGAGCUUAGACUUCAUUCUCUCUCCUUCCUGAUUUUCUCUGACCUUGCAUGCGAAUACAAUCUUCUGCUGCUCACCUGGUCCUUUAAUACGGAUGGCCACCUUCAUCUUCGCCUCCUGAGCUUCAGCUCGGGAACAGCAAGGGCUUACUCUAGCUAUAAAGGAAGAGAAAUUGAGGCCUAGCCCAGAGAGGGAACUCGCUGGAAGAGAGUCAGCAGGCCUAGGAUUAGAAGCUGGGUCUCCCUAUUCCCUGCCCGGCACAUAAUACUUCUUCAAUUGCUCUGAAAAUGAAAACCUCAGGAUUAUUUUGCAGGAGAGGAAAAAAAAUAGGCCUUGAGAAGCUGUAGCCACAUUUUUGACAAGCUCCAUUCAGAGGGCACCGUAACUUACAUAAAUGAUUUCCUAUUACACUGCAAUUGUCACUGCAACAUGACAGUCUUGCAGUUUCCUUGAAGUGUUCUCUUUGUUGUUUUUCUGUACAGAUCCCCCAGAAAGAAGAAUCAAAUAUGGUCCGAGCAGGAAAACAAAUCACAUGACACCUGCAGACCCAGAUUCCCCUUCUGCAUGGCUCCUCCUGAGAAGGACCAAAGAGAAUGCAGUGAAUGAACACCCUGGGCCUGAGCCCUCUCCCACCUGCCCAGUUCCUAGAGCUCUGUCGUGUCCCCGCAAAUAGGAUUCCUUUUCAAAAAAAAAAAAAAAAAUGAAAGCCAACAGUCUAUGAAGAAGAAAUGAAGUGGCAAUUUCCCAGCAUGGCUGGGAAUCAAUACAAGCUGUUGCCAGGGUUUUCCUUUCAAAGGGUGACUGCUACACUUCUCUAAAGUCAAGAGUGACAGAGCUCCAGUGCUUGACUUACAACUGCUUCAUCAUAGCAAGAUAUUUUUAAUUUAAAACUC